AUCAAGCACUGUUUCGAGAGGACUGCUGGGAUGAAAUAUAACAUUCAUAAAGAUAAGACCUAUUUCAUCCCAGAUGGGAUUAGUCCAGCUACAGAGCCUGGACCUGGCAGCUGAAGAAGCUGUGGUACCUUAUGAUGGCGUCCCACUUAUAUUCACGAGCAGAAACCAGGACAACUGUUACUGCUCCAGAGAAAAGUACUAGUGGAAUUCUGAGUGAAUAAAUCAAUGUACACGCAAUUCCAUCAGAUUAUUGAUGCGAGGGUAACUCCACAAUCGAGCUAGUGUUUCCUAGCCGUCACUGUUCGCAACUUUGAUCUACAGCCUCCACUCAUGCCAGACUUAUCAUGAAAAGAGAUAACUCUGGUAUUUUCAGCUCUUGCACUAAGUUUAUUUAUACACCUAUAAUUUGAAGUAAAACUAAAAACAAAUAAACAGAAAUAAAGAACAAAUAAAGGAAAUUCAUUGCUAACAAUGUUUCAAGUAAUUAAAAAGCCCUUAGUUUUAAAGGGAAUGUACAACAUUUGCUUUUGCUGCAAUUUUCAGAUAUAAAUGUAUUUGGAGGAUUAGUGUAUGUAAUAGCAAAUAUUGUUCAACUGAUU